rnacentral:misc_RNA from 1 species
GCGGUCUACGCAAGUAAGCUCUCAUCAAAAGCUUUAAGGAAAGCUCUUUGUUUUUUGAAAUGAUGCUUUUAUGAGAUAGAGCUUUUUUAGAUAAUGCUUUUUUAGAUAAUGCUUUUUUAGAUAAUGCUUUUUUAGAUAAUGCUGGGGAAGGUUUUCCGGUUUAUCUCGGAGGGCUUGUAGCUCAGUUGGUUAGAGCGCGCGCU